UACGUAGGCAGCAAGCGUUGUUCGGAAUUACUGGGCGUAAAGAGUGUGUAGGCGGUGUUCUAAGUUUGUCGUGAAAUCUCCCGGCUUAACUGGGAGGGUGCGGCGAAAACUGGAAUGCUAGAGGAUGGGAGAGGUAAGCGGAAUUCCUGGUGUAGCGGUGAAAUGCGUAGAUAUCAGGAGGAACACCCGUGGCGAAGGCGGCUCUCUGGGACGGUACUGACGCUGAGACGCGAAAGCGUGGGGAGCGAACAGG
rnacentral:rRNA from 1 species